rnacentral:rRNA from 1 species
UACGUAGGAUCCUAGCGUUGUCCGGAUUUACUGGGUGUAAAGGGUGCGCAGGCGGACUUAUAAGUCAGUGGUGAAAUCUCGGCGCUCAACGCCGAAACUGCCUUUGAUACUAUAAGUCUUGAGUUCGGUAGAGAUCCGUGGAAUUCCGAGUGUAGCAGUGAAAUGUGUAGAUAUUCGGAAGAACACCAGCGGCGAAGGCAGCGGAUUGGGCCAAUACUGACGCUCAGGCACGAAAGCAUGGGGAUCAAACAGG